rnacentral:other from 1 species
AACACCCUGCCUUGUUCGAUAAAUACGGCAUAUAAUGAUCCAACACUUUUAAAUUGGGAGCCUAAACUCCUAAGGCGGGCUGCAGACCUCCCGGCUUUGCCGGACGAAGGGAGCACGAAACUAUAGGGCGGCACCCACCUGCUAUUUGCAGGUUCUUAUCUGUCGUAUCCGGCUUGGCGGGGCACUU